GAGCCCUAUGAUCGAUGAUUGGCAAAUCCUCUCGAGGAACCGAUCGUUGAGAACCCCUUUGCCUU
rfam:Drosophila melanogaster SD09114 full insert cDNA.